rnacentral:snRNA from 2 species
AUCUGUUCUUGGACACUAGAUAAAAUUGAAACGAUACAGAGAAGAUUGGCAUGGCCCAUGCACAAAUCAAGAAAUGAUAAAGAGUAUCUCAUU